rnacentral:rRNA from 1 species
GACGAACCGUGCGAACGUUGUUCGGAAUCACUGGGCUUAAAGGGCGCGUAGGCGGGCUGUCGCGUCUGGGGUGAAAUCCUCCGGCUCAACCGGGGAAGGGCCUCGGGUACGGACGGCCUCGAGGGGGGUAGGGGCGUGCGGAACUGUGGGUGGAGCGGUGAAAUGCGUUGAUAUCCACAGGAACUCCGGUGGCGAAGGCGGCACGCUGGACCCUCUCUGACGCUGAGGCGCGAAAGCCAGGGGAGCGAACAGG